GAGCCCAGCUGGGGUGGUAAAUAGAGUACAGUACAAAAGCGGAAGGGGCAGGCCUAGAAGCUGAAAGAAAAGCUCGAUAAUGGGGAAACAGUGUUUUUUCCUUCAAUUAAUGAUUAAUUUCUCAGCUGGUGGGGCCAGCAGUCUCUGACCGUCACGUGACAGCUAUGCGCCCCAUGACGCCUCUCCAGGGAGGCAGAGUGGGUGGCACUGAGGUGGAGCUCACCUUCCUGAAAUUCAGCCCCCUCAGUUUGGAGGAAGGAGGUAAACUGUUUCCUGUCCAGCCAGAAGUUUGCGGAGGGCCUUCCCCAGGCCAGGCAAUGCUGCCUGCGACUCUGUCCCUGACAGCGUUGGAUGCACCGUAUCUCUUCUGAUAUUAAGUCUGGAAGUGAUUUACUAUCCGAGUCCUCCCACAGUUCGAGCCUUUUGAUGUACUUUGUGUGCAUGUGUUUCUGUCACAUACGUGCCACAGUGGAACAGAUUUUGUUUUGACACUAUUUUGGUUCAUGAUGUUAUACUUUGACUAUUUUACAAUAAUAGCCAAUGUAAACAAACAUCUUUGGGAUUCUCAAAUUAUUACUUAUGAUUCUUGGACAUUGCAGCUCUUCGAUACUGACGCAUUCCUAGCUUUUUCCAAGGACACCGUAUGUUAACAUCCGUGCCAGCCUCAUUAUCCCCACAGCCAGGCUCUGGGUUGGGCGGUAAUGAGCAUUGUGCGGUUUCACUUUACACUUUGCAAAGUUGAUUAAGGCAGUGCCUUCUCCCAUGAUCAUUUUUGUACCCUGAUGUAGUAAAAUGGCUAAAUAUGGUGAAAGUU
rnacentral:lncRNA from 1 species